rnacentral:rRNA from 1 species
UACGUAGGGGGCAAGCGUUGUCCGGAUUCAUUGGGCGUAAAGAGCGUGUAGGCGGCCAGGUAGGUCGGUUGUGAAAACUGGAGGCUCAACCUUCAGAGGUCGACCGAAACCAUCUGGCUAGAGUCCGGGAGAGGAGAGUGGAAUUCCUGGUGUAGCGGUGAAAUGCGCAGAUAUCAGGAGGAACACCGAUGGCGAAGGCAGAUCUCUGGGCCGGAACUGACGCUGAGGAGCGAAAGCAUGGGGAGCGAACAGG